rnacentral:rRNA from 1 species
AAAAAAGGUAAGCUACUAAGAGCGAAUGGUGGAUGCCUUGACUGGUAAAGGCGAUGAAGGACGUACUAGACUGCGAUAAGCUACGGGGAGCUGUCAAGAAGCUUUGAUCCGUAGAUUUCCGAAUGGGGCAACCCAAUGUAUAGAGAUAUACAUUACCUAUAUAGGAGCGAACGAGGGGAAUUGAAACAUCUUAGUACCCUCAGGAAAAGAAAUCAAUAGAGAUUGCGUCAGUAGCGGCGAGCGAAAGCGCAAGAGGGCAAACCCAGUGCUUGCACUGGGGGUUGUAGGACUGCAAUGUGCAAGAGGUGAGUUUAGCAGAACAUUCUGGAAAGUAUAGCCAUAGAGGGUGAUAGUCCCGUAUGCGAAAAACAAACCUUAGCUAGCAGUAUCCUGAGUAGGGCGGGACACGAGAAAUCCUGUCUGAAGCUGGGUCGACCACGAUCCAACCCUAAAUACUAAUACCAGAUCGAUAGUGCACAAGUACCGUGAGGGAAAGGUGAAAAGAACUGAGGUGAUCAGAGUGAAAUAGAACCUGAAACCAUUUGCUUACAAUCAUUCAGAGCCCUAUGUAGCAAUACAGGGUGAUGGACUGCCUUUUGCAUAAUGAGCCUGCGAGUUGUGGUGUCUGGCAAGGUUAAGCAAACGCGAAGCCGUAGCGAAAGCGAGUCUGAAUAGGGCGCUUAGUCAGAUGCUGCAGACCCGAAACGAAGUGAUCUAUCCAUGAGCAAGUUGAAGCUAGUGUAAGAACUAGUGGAGGACUGAACCCAUAGGCGUUGAAAAGCCCCGGGAUGACUUGUGGAUAGGGGUGAAAGGCCAAUCAAACUUCGUGAUAGCUGGUUCUCUCCGAAAUAUAUUUAGGUAUAGCGUUGUGUCGUAAUAUAAGGGGGUAGAGCACUGAAUGGGCUAGGGCAUACACCAAUGUACCAAACCCUAUCAAACUCCGAAUACCUUAUAUGUAAUCACAGCAGUCAGGCGGCGAGUGAUAAAAUCCGUCGUCAAGAGGGAAACAACCCAGACUACCAGCUAAGGUCCCUAAAUCUUACUUAAGUGGAAAACGAUGUGAAGUUACUUAAACAACCAGGAGGUUGGCUUAGAAGCAGCCAUCCUUUAAAGAAAGCGUAAUAGCUCACUGGUCUAGUGAUUUUGCGCGGAAAAUAUAACGGGGCUAAAGUAAGUACCGAAGCUGUAGACUUGCGCACAACUUAGAUUAUUUAAGUUUAGAAUAUGAGAAACUAAGUUAUAUGUUUAGUUAUAUUUUUACUGAUUUUUAUAGAGUAAAGAUAGAAAUAAAACUUAGUAAAAUCAGUAAAAAUAUUCUUAGACUAAAGUUAAGUAGUUUAAGUUGUGUGCAAGUGGUAGGAGAGCGUUCUAUUUGCGUCGAAGGUAUACCGGUAAGGAGUGCUGGAGCGAAUAGAAGUGAGCAUGCAGGCAUGAGUAGCGAUAAUUAAUGUGAGAAUCAUUAACGCCGUAAACCCAAGGUUUCCUACGCGAUGCUCGUCAUCGUAGGGUUAGUCGGGUCCUAAGUCGAGUCCGAAAGGGGUAGACGAUGGCAAAUUGGUUAAUAUUCCAAUACCAACAUUAGUGUGCGAUGGAAGGACGCUUAGGGCUAAGGGGGCUAGCGGAUGGAAGUGCUAGUCUAAGGUCGUAGGAGGUUAUACAGGCAAAUCCGUAUAACAAUACUCCGAGAACUGAAAGGCUUUUUGAAGUCUUCGGAUGGAUAGAAGAACCCCUGAUGCCAUCGAGCCAAGAAAAGUUUCUAAGUUUAGCUAAUGUUGCCCGUACCGUAAACCGACACAGGUGGGUGGGAUGAGUAUUCUAAGGCGCGUGGAAGAACUCUCUUUAAGGAACUCUGCAAAAUAGCACCGUAUCUUCGGUAUAAGGUGUGGUUCGCUUCGUAUUAGGAUUUACUCCGAAAGCGAAGAAACUUACAACAAAGAGUCCCUCCCGACUGUUUACCAAAAACACAGCACUCUGCUAACUCGUAAGAGGAUGUAUAGGGUGUGACG